CCUACGGGCGACAGCAGUGAGGAAUAUUGGUCAAUGGGCGAAAGCCUGAUGCAGCCACGUCGCGUGAGCGAUGAAGGCCUUGGGGUCCUAAAGCUCUGUCCUCAAGGGAGAUGAUGUCCGGACUUGAGGGGGCCGCCCCGGCUAACUACGUGCCAGCAGCCGCGGUACUACGUAGGGGGCUAGCGUUAUCCGGAAUUACUGGGUGUAAAGGGUGCGUAGGUGGUUUCUUAAGUCAGAGGUGAAAGGCUAGGGCUCAACCGUCGGAAGCCGUUGAAACUGGGGACCUUGAGUGCAGGAGAGGAGAGUGGAAUGCGUGGUGUAGCGGUGAAAUGCGUAGAUAUUAGGAGGAACACCAGUUGCGAAGGCGGCUCUCCGGAGUGCAACUGACACUGAGGCACGAAAGUGCGGGGAGCAAACAGGAUUAGAUACCCUAGUAGUC
rnacentral:rRNA from 1 species